CAGCAGCCGCGGUAAUACAGAGGGUGCAAGCGUUAAUCGGAAUUACUGGGCGUAAAGCGCGCGUAGGUGGUUUGUUAAGUUGGAUGUGAAAUCCCCGGGCUCAACCUGGGAACUGCAUUCAAAACUGACUGACUAGAGUAUGGUAGAGGGUGGUGGAAUUUCCUGUGUAGCGGUGAAAUGCGUAGAUAUAGGAAGGAACACCAGUGGCGAAGGCGACCACCUGGACUAAUACAGACACUGAGGUGCGAAAGCGUGGGGAGCAAACAGGAUUAGAUACCCCCGUAGUCCCUGUCUCUUAUAC
rnacentral:rRNA from 1 species